CUUGAGUAUCUAUAAGAGGUCCAGCCUGCCCAGUGACUCUGUUCAACGGCCGCGGUAUCCUAACCGUGCGAAGGUAGCGUAAUCACUUGUUCUUUAAAUGAGGACUAGUAUGAAUGGCACCACGAGGGUUAUACUGUCUCCUUUUUCUAAUCAGUGAAACUAAUCUCCCCGUGAAGAAGCGGGGAUUAAAAUAUAAGACGAGAAGACCCUAUGGAGCUUUAAACUUAAUAACAAGUACUACCCUUUAUUUAACUUUCAGAACAUAUACCUUUAUUCUAGUAUUAUGAUUAUUAGUUUUAGGUUGGGGUGACCGCGGAGCAAAAAUCAACCUCCACAUUGAACGGAACUCAUUCCUGAGCAAAAAGCCACGACUUUAAGCACCAACAAAUUGACAUCAAUUGACCCAAUAUUUUGAUCAACGAAC
rnacentral:rRNA from 1 species